GAUGAACGCUGGCGGCGUGCCUAAUACAUGCAAGUCGAGCGAACAGAUGAGGAGCUUGCUCCUCUGACGUUAGCGGCGGACGGGUGAGUAACACGUGGAUAACCUACCUAUAAGACUGGGAUAACUUCGGGAAACCGGAGCUAAUACCGGAUAAUAUAUUGAACCGCAUGGUUCAAUAGUGAAAGGCGGUUUUGCUGUCACUUAUAGAUGGAUCCGCGCCGCAUUAGCUAGUUGGUAAGGUAACGGCUUACCAAGGCAACGAUGCGUAGCCGACCUGAGAGGGUGAUCGGCCACACUGGAACUGAGACACGGUCCAGACUCCUACGGGAGGCAGCAGUAGGGAAUCUUCCGCAAUGGGCGAAAGCCUGACGGAGCAACGCCGCGUGAGUGAUGAAGGUCUUCGGAUCGUAAAACUCUGUUAUUAGGGAAGAACAAAUGCGUAAGUAACUAUGCACGUCUUGACGGUACCUAAUCAGAAAGCCACGGCUAACUACGUG
rnacentral:rRNA from 1 species